rnacentral:misc_RNA from 1 species
UAGGGAGACCUAAUCCAUUUAGGAAUCGAAAGCCGCAGGCGAAUAGAGAAUCAAAUGGUCUACUCUAGGUCGGUCGAGAAUUGGUCAAGUCUCUUUCAAAGUAUUAUAUUUCCGGUGACUCCCAGCAACUAGGAAAGACCUAGACUGCUGGUGAUAAACCAGCCAGAACCUUGAAAACUGCAUAUAGAUAGAUAAGAGAGCCGAAAUCGAAAGAUAGAAGCAAGUGAAAAACCAAGUGGUCAAGCUAAUAAGGGC